rnacentral:tRNA from 4 species
GGACUGGUAGCUCAGUUGGUAGAGCAACGGACUCUUAAUCCGUGGGUCCAGGGUUCGAGCCCCUGUCAGUCCA